UCCCACCUGAUCCCAUGCCGAACUCAGAAGUGAAACGCCGUAGCGCCGAUGGUAGUGUGGGGUCUCCCCAUGUGAGAGUAGGGAACUGCCAAGC
rnacentral:rRNA from 1 species